CGGACGGGUGAGUAAUGUCUGGGAAACUGCCUGAUGGAGGGGGAUAACUACUGGAAACGGUAGCUAAUACCGCAUAACGUCGUAAGACCAAAGAGGGGGACCUUCGGGCCUCUUGCCAUCGGAUGUGCCCAGAUGGGAUUAGCUAGUAGGUGGGGUAAUGGCUCACCUAGGCGACGAUCCCUAGCUGGUCUGAGAGGAUGACCAGCCACACUGGAACUGAGACACGGUCCAG
rnacentral:rRNA from 1 species